GAUAACAGGCUGAUCUUCCCCAUGAGUUCACAUUGACAA
rnacentral:rRNA from 1 species